UUACAAAUAUCAUGCCGAGGAGAAAAAUAACUGAUUUAUGGGUUGUUCGAGCUUUUGAAGACCAUGGAGAAAGAAAUAAUGAGGAAUUGAAUGCACAUGAGUCUUCUGAAGUUCCUGAAACUGUUGAAGAAGAAGUAUAAAUUCAAGUUGAAAAUGCUAGAACGCGCAAGACUCAAGGACGUACAACUUUAAAGGAAUUAUAUCAACUUCCUCCUGGGACUCGUGUCAAAGUUUCAAGAAAUGAUGUCGGUCAACCUAUUAGCCCAGAAGCACGUCUUCUAGCAGGUUACUUAGGCAUAGUUGGACUUAAUGUGAAUAUGUUACCGAUCAAUAAUGAGUCAUGGAGCGAAAUGCCUAAUAGUAACAAAAAUCAGGUGUUGGAAUUUAUUAAGGAUAAAUUUUCUUUAGAGGUCUCUGACGAUUAUAUGAAGCAAACUUUAGGGAAGAGAUAGAAGGACCACAAGAUCUCCUUAAAGAAGAAAUACUUCAAGAAUGAUCUCAGCCUUGAAGAGAAGCUGCAA